AGCAGCCGCGGUAAUUCCAGCUCCAAUAGCGUAUAUUAAAGUUGUUGCAGUUAAAAAGCUCGUAGUUGAAUUUCGGGGUUAGUAGGUCGGUCAUGCCACUGGUAUGUACUGGUCUCACUGAUUCCUCCUUCCUGAUGAACCGUAAUGCCAUUAAUUUGGUGUUGCGGGGAGACUGGACUGUUACUUUGAAAAAAUUGAGUGUUUAAAGCAGGCUAACGCUUGAAUACAUUAGCAUGGAAUAAUGAAAUAGGACGUUCGAUCCUAUUUUGUUGGUUUCUAGGAUUGACGUAAUGAUUAAUAGGGAUAGUUGGGGGCAUUAGUAUUCAAUUGUCAGAGGUGAAAUUCUUGGAUUUAUUGAAGACUAACUACUGCGAAAGCAUUUGCCAAGGAUGUUUUCAUUAAUCAAGAACGAAAGUUAGGGAUCGAAGACGAUCAGAUACCAUCGUAGUCUUAACCAUAAACUAUGCCGACUAGGGAUCGGAUGAUGUUAAUUUUUAUGUACUCAUUCGGCUACCG
rnacentral:rRNA from 1 species